rnacentral:lncRNA from 1 species
AUGCUUUCCGAGGCUGCCGAUGCUGGCGGAGCCGCCGCUCGCUGGGCUUGCCGGCUCCCUGUGCCUGCAUGCCGGAGCGCAGUUAUUAAUUUCUCCCUUCGCACAAGCCGGCGGCAGGCGCACGUCUCCAGGAAAGCAGGGAUAUUCCAAAUAAAUCCGCUAAUUCCGGGGCUGAGCCGUGCCCGCCCGCCUGCCAAACGGAACUGUGAAGCGAUGUGGAAAAGUGAGCCGGGAGCCUCCCCUGACAGCUCUUAUUGGGCCGAUCUCGGAGGCAGGUCUAGCGCUGGGAAAUUCGUGACCGGGACGUGCCCGGAGAGCCGGCGAGGAGGAGCCGCCGCUGUCCCCGUGCUUGGGGCGAUGGCCGGCGGGAGAGGGACGCGGGCUGGAUGCGGCAGCACCCCGAGGGGCCGAGGGCAGCCGCUCGUCUCCGAGGCACGGCGCUGCGGAGGGGGCCCGGGGACACGGAGGGCAUCCUUUGGAAGGGCUGUUCCCGAGGCCGGUCGGGCCCGGCGCUGCCUCGCUGGCCCCAGGGCAGCCGCAGCCGCAGCGGGAUGGAGGCAGCACCCGCAAGCUCGUCCCAUCCCGGACAGACAGACAGCACCGCCAGCGAGGGACAGACCACUGCCAUCCCCUGCCAUCCUUCCUCAUCCCCGGAGCCUUGCUCCUUCUCAGGGCUGGUCAUCUGAACCUCCUUCAGAGCCCCUGAAAACCUCUCCACCUUAA